rnacentral:rRNA from 1 species
UACGGAGGAGGCAAGCGUUAUCCGGAAUUAUUGGGCGUAAAGCGUCCGUAGGUGGUUUAGUAAGUCUGCUGUUAAAGCGCGGGGCUUAACUCCGUAUCGGCAGUGGAAACUACUAGACUAGAGUGUGGUAGGGGUAGAGGGAAUUCCCAGUGUAGCGGUGAAAUGCGUAGAUAUUGGGAAGAACACCGGUGGCGAAGGCGCUCUACUGGGCCAUAACUGACACUGAUGGACGAAAGCUAGGGGAGCGAACGGG